rnacentral:rRNA from 1 species
UACAGAGGAGCCAAGCGUUGUCCGGAUUGACUGGGCGUAAAGCGCACGCAGGCGGUCGCGCGCGUGGGGUGUGAAAUCUGGCCGCUUAACGGCCAGGCGCCAUCCCAUACGGCGCGACUGGAGUGAUGCAGAGGUCGGUGGAAUUGCCGGUGUAGUGGUGAAAUGCGCAGAUAUCGGGAGGAACACCCGUAGCGAAGGCGGCACUCUGGGCCGGAACUGACGCUGAGGAGCGAAAGCGUGGGGAGCAAACAGG